ensembl:lncRNA
CUUGGAAAGAAAGUGGGGGGGGGCCAGAUGAGCACCCUCAAGGGUCCACUUCCAGGGUCUUUAAAGGAGGCCUCAUCUCCCUCAGCCUCUCCAGGUUCCAGACGCCCCUGGAGGUUGGUGAGGGCAGCACAGGUGGGGAACGCGGACUCACACAGGUGACAGCAGGAAGGUACUAGGUGACCCCUCCAAGACGGCGGCAUGAGCUGCUCAACACAUCCUUUUAAACCAGUGUGCACACAUGGCAACAGUAUCCACUCAACAGGCCCCUGGAAACCACCACGCUGCUCCCUGUCUCCAUGGAUUUGCCGGAUCUGGACAUUCUGUGGAAUGCCACAUCGCUGCCACCUGGUGUGAUUGCAAGAGAGCCUGACACCACGUUCAGAUCCUACCCAGCCACGACUCCACCCCCGAAUAAAAGCGCAGAGCUAGCCACUAAAUGCAGACCGCAGCUGAUUAUACCUGACUCAGCCUUGGGUUGCCUGUGCCUGUUUCCUGCCCCUCUACAUCUGCAUUUAUGUGCCCCUCUCUGGUUGUAGGCUCCUAGGGUAAUAAAAGAGAUUUUAUGCCAACUAUUGGCC